rnacentral:rRNA from 2 species
UAAGGCUCCCAGUAGACGACUGGGUUGAUAGGCCAGAUGUGGAAGCCCGGUAACGGGUGGAGCUGACUGGUACUAAUAGGCCGAGGGCUUGUCCU